AUUGAACGCUGGCGGAAUGCUUUACACAUGCAAGUCGAACGGCAGCACGGGGCAACCUGGUGGCGAGUGGCGAACGGUGAGUAAUACAUCGGAACGUGCCCAAUCGUGGGGGAUAACGUAGCGAAAGUUACGCUAAUACCGCAUACGAUCUACGGAUGAAAGCGGGGAUCGCAAGACCUCGCGCGAGUGGAGCGGCCGAUGUCAGAUUAGGUAGUUGGUGGGGUAAAGGCUCACCAAGCCAACGAUCUGUAGCUGGUCUGAGAGGACGACCAGCCACACUGGAACUGAGACACGGUCCAGACUCCUACGGGAGGCAGCAGUGGGGAAUUUUGGACAAUGGGCGCAAGCCUGAUCCAGCCAUUCCGCGUGCAGGAUGAAGGCCUCGGUUGUAACUAGCUUUGUACGGUAACGAAACGGACGA
rnacentral:rRNA from 1 species